rnacentral:rRNA from 1 species
GCGGUGGAGCAUGUGGUUUAAUUCGAAGCAACGCGAAGAACCUUACCAGGUCUUGACAUCCCCUGACAACCCGAGAGAUCGGGCGUUCCCCUUCGGGGGACAGGGUGACAGGUGGUGCAUGGUUGUCGUCAGCUCGUGUCGUGAGAUGUUGGGUUAAGUCCCGCAACGAGCGCAACCCUCGACCUUAGUUGCCAGCAUUCAGUUGGGCACUCUAAGGUGACUGCCGGCUAAAAGUCGGAGGAAGGUGGGGAUGACGUCAAAUCAUCAUGCCCCUUAUGACCUGGGCUACACACGUGCUACAAUGGGCGGUACAAAGGGUCGCGAACCCGCGAGGGGGAGCCAAUCCCAAAAAGCCGCUCUCAGUUCGGAUUGCAGGCUGCAACUCGCCUGCAUGAAGCCGGAAUCGCUAGUAAUCGCGGAUCAGCAUGCCGCGGUGAAUACGUUCCCGGGCCUU